CGAACGACUUUACUCCGAACUUCUUCCGGACUUCAUCAAUAUCCGAGCAUCUCCAACAGCAGGACUUCUACCGUAACCAGACUCCAUCCAAGUUUCUACGACGGUCGACCGCCCUUCGGAUUUCAUCCGAGCUCUUACGAGAGCUGGAUCCCAGUCGAACUUUUGCAGCAGAUGGAUUCCAAAUGAACUCCUACAACAGCUGGGCCCCACCAGCCGGAUCUCUACUCUGAACCUCUUCCGAGCUUCGUCAAGGAUCGAGCUUCUUCGACAGUGGGACUUCUACAGUAAGCAGUCUACUCCAAACUUCUACGACAACC
rnacentral:lncRNA from 1 species